GACGAACGCUGGCGGCGUGCCUAAUACAUGCAAGUUGAGCGCUGAAGGUUGGUACUUGUACCAACUGGAUGAGCAGCGAACGGGUGAGUAACGCGUGGGGAAUCUGCCUUUGAGCGGGGGACAACAUUUGGAAACGAAUGCUAAUACCGCAUAAAAACUUUAAACACAAGUUUUAAGUUUGAAAGAUGCAAUUGCAUCACUCAAAGAUGAUCCCGCGUUGUAUUAGCUAGUUGGUGAGGUAAAGGCUCACCAAGGCGAUGAUACAUAGCCGACCUGAGAGGGUGAGCGGCCACAUUGGGACUGAGACACGGCCCAAACUCCUACGGGAGGCAGCAGGAGGGAAUCUUCGGCAAGGGACGAAAGUCUGACCGAGCAACGCCGCGGGAGUGAAGAAGGUUGUCGGAUCGUAAAACUCGGUUGGUAGAGAAGAACGUUGGUGAGAGUGGAAAGCUCAUCAAGUGACGGUAACUACCCAGAAAGGGACGGCUAACUACGUG
rnacentral:rRNA from 1 species